rnacentral:rRNA from 1 species
CGAAACUAACAAGGAUUCCCCUAGUAGCGGCGAGCGAAGCGGGAAGAGCUCAAAUUUAUAAUCUGGCACCUUCGGUGUCCGAGUUGUAAUCUCUAGAAAUGUUUUCCGCGUUGGACCGCACACAAGUCUGUUGGAAUACAGCGGCAUAGUGGUGAGACCCCCGUAUAUGGUGCGGACGCCCAGCGCUUUGUGAUACAUUUUCGAAGAGUCGAGUUGUUUGGGAAUGCAGCUCAAAUUGGGUGGUAAAUUCCAUCUAAAGCUAAAUAUUGGCGAGAGACCGAUAGCGAACAAGUACCGUGAGGGAAAGAUGAAAAGCACUUUGGAAAGAGAGUUAACAGUACGUGAAAUUGUUGGAAGGGAAACGCUUGAAGUCAGACUUGCUUGCCGAGCAAUCGGUUUGCAGGCCAGCAUCAGUUUUCCGGGAUGGAUAAUGGUAGAGAGAAGGUAGCAGUUUCGGCUGUGUUAUAGCUCUCUGCUGGAUACAUCUUGGGGGACUGAGGAACGCAGUGUGCCUUUUGGCGGGGGUUUCGACCUCUUC